GCGUAUGCUACGCGGAGGGACAUUACCGAGUUUACAACUCCCAAACCCAAUGUGAACGUUACCAAACUGUUGCCUCGGCGGGGUCACGCCCCGGGUGCGUCGCAGCCCCGGAACCAGGCGCCCGCCGGAGGAACCAACCAAACUCUUUCUGUAGUCCCCUCGCGGACGUAUUUCUUACAGCUCUGAGCAAAAAUUCAAAAUGAAUCAAAACUUUCAACAACGGAUCUCUUGGUUCUGGCAUCGAUGAAGAACGCAGCGAAAUGCGAUAAGUAAUGUGAAUUGCAGAAUUCAGUGAAUCAUCGAAUCUUUGAACGCACAUUGCGCCCGCCAGUAUUCUGGCGGGCAUGCCUGUCCGAGCGUCAUUUCAACCCUCGAACCCCUCCGGGGGAUCGGCGUUGGGGAUCGGGACCCCUCACACGGGUGCCGGCCCCUAAAUACAGUGGCGGUCUCGCCGCAGCCUCUCCUGCGCAGUAGUUUGCACAACUCGCACCGGGAGCGCGGCGCGUCCACGUCCGUAAAACACCCAACUUUCUGAAAUGUUGACCUCGGAUCAGGUAGGAAUACCCGCUGAACUUAAGCAUAUCAAA
rnacentral:rRNA from 1 species